CGUGCGAUGGCCGAGUGGUUAAGGCGUUAGACUUGAAAUCUAAUGGGAUCUUCCCGCGU
rnacentral:tRNA from 1 species